rnacentral:lncRNA from 1 species
UCUUCUCCUGAGCAGUGGUUGCAAUGUGGACAACCUGGUGUUUUGUGGUAAAGCAAGGAUGAGUACACAUCAACGUACUCAGCAAAUGCCCCGUUUGGCUGAAGUGGACUAGCUUUUUAUGUGGGGUUAGGCUCAAGCAGUUGCUUUUAGUUGGUCAGGUAUCUAUUGUUAGUAGAAGCCAGAUUUUAUCAUAAAACCCAAGUUAUAAUCCCAACAAGUACCUCCUCAGAGAGGAAAUACUAGAAUUCAUAAUUAAAGUCACCAUCAUAAGUCACUAUCAUUAACCAUCAUCACUAAAGUCAUCAUCUGAGGCGUAUCCAGAGUAUUUCUAAUCAAAGAGGAUCCCAAGGCUGCUCUUAACCGUGAGCACGACUGAUAUAUCAGUUUCAUUACCCUCUGCAGAGGUCGCACACUUUACCCAUGAGCCGUGAUUCCCGUUUUGCCUGGGGAUCAUGACUCCCCAUUGAUCACUUCCUAGGUGGUCCGGCAGGGUAUCACUACGUAGCUUUUACAAAGAUUCCCUAGAGGUCCUAGUCGCCCGUUAGGUUUCUCCAGUUUGAUAAACACAGUACCUCUCCCCGAAGGGGGGUGACUAACAAAAGCAAAAUGAAAGAACCUCGGCACCCAGCCUCGGCAGAGCAAGCACUGUGCCUGGACCCCAUUGACAGCACGACGGCGAAGCAACUACACCUCUAGUUCCUCUAAUUAAUUAGCUAAGGUCCCCCCAUUUCACCCUCAUGGUUGCACUGUUAUCCCGGGUGGUCUCUCAACGAACAGGUCCUUACGGAGAGGCACUCGAGAAACCGCUCGAGCCCCCUUAAAGGCCACAAGUAUAACAUCAUAAUAAGAAGAGGGAAAACAGCGUAUCAUGAAUCAUUCUCAUCAUGUUCAUUGAUUAGAGUUGAGCAAUAGCAUAAGACCAAGCAAUAAUAAUCCAACCCAGAUAGGUAAACAAGGACAUGGAUAACAAAAGCUAGUUAAUCCUUAGGCAUAAAGGUAUAAAUGCGGGGAGUGAAUUAUAGACUUGCAUAGGACAUAGAUAGGUCAAGGGACACUUGCCUUCACCAAACAAAUGCUCAGGGUCUUCAACCUCGUAGAACUCAAAGAACUUGAUCUCAGGAGCAGCGGUUCACCAAAUCUUGAUCGUCGAUUCCUCGAAGCUCAGGAAUAGAUCGCAAUCUAUUCAUGACGCGCAACGAAUACAAACAAGCACAAGCAAACAUAUACUUGCAUAAGAACAUUACACCAUACAAGAUAAAAUAUUAUCAAAACGAGCAAUAUAAAAAUAGAGAGCGCUUCUACGGUUACGCAGGAAUAAGAAACGCGACGGUCGAAGCUACGAUCGAGAAGUCGUAACGUUACGCUACGCAGGUAAUAGUCAGGACAUUUAAUUCGACAUUAUCAAAUAUAAAUAAUAUCUAUCAUUUAGUUUCGAUUAACCUGCUACACUAACAUUUGUCAGUUAACUAAGUAAUUUAAUUAACAUAAGAGAUUCUAAGCGAGGCGAAUUUAUGACGCGUGAAACAACACGACAGCGUGCAAACGACGCGCGGACACGCGUGACAUAGCACGCCGACGACACACGAAACAGCGCGCGCGAACGACGCGUGAACCAGCACGCCACCACGUGCGGAACAUCACGCGUGACAGACGAGGAAAACUAAAUAGAUGACGCGUUUAUACCAAACCAAUAUUAAAUAAUUAAAAGCAGUUAAGUUAAUAUUGGUCAUGUUAAUAUUUAUUAUAAAAGCACAGUUGAGCACUACAUGUUUAAUAUAAUUUAAAUAUUAGUUUAAUAAAUAUUAGUCAAGCGAACCUUAAGUUAAUUAUCUAACAUAUAUGACCUGACGGAUUAACGUUACUAACAUGAGUGCUUAUAAGCGAAAACAAUUUAUUAUCACGCGCGUACGCCGCGCGACACACGCGAUCGACACGCGAGAUACGCGCUAACGACACGUGGCAGGGCGAGCGACACGUGCAAAUGGCACACGCGACGCGCACACACGACGUGUGACGACACGCGACACUUAACGUGACAGCACGCGAAACAACGCGCACGACAGUGUGUGACACGCGCGAGUCAAUGCGACUACGUGAGCGAACAGCACGAUGACACGUAAACGAUGCUGCGCACGAACAAUAACAAACAAGUAAAUAAUUAAAAAUAUUUAAGCUGGUAGUAAUCAAGUUAAUUAAUAUUUAUAUUUAUAAAAGCACGAGUUGAAACUAUAGACUCGUUCUAAUUAAAUUGUUAUUUUAAAUAACCAACAACUAAACAAGAAUUGACUAAUUAGCAUGAGCGACCAUAACAGAAAUAACUAAAUAUUGCGCGGACAGCGCGCGAGACCCACACGGUCGACAAGAGACGACGCACGCUGCAACACGUUUAUACUAACAAGUAUUAAUUCGAAAAUAUUCGAGCAGGCGUAACCAUAUUAACAAGUAUCUAUAAAGUGAAUCUAAAACUAUAAAUUAGUUCGAUUAGAUUGCUACUUUUAAUAAUUAUCAAAUAAAUGAUAAAUCAAUUAAUUAAUAUUAGAAUGUACAUCGAGAUAAAUUAAUGCUACUUACUACGUUGUUAAUAUGAAUUUACGAAACCGACGUAAAUGAAACAAGUCAAAACGGACUUGCAACACAAAAUAUAUUAGAUAUUUAAUGGUUCGCGGAAUUUAAACGAUGUGACACAAUUUUAUUAAGGCGGGAAUAGCGACUCGCGGCGAACGACGACAAGGCGACGACAUCUCACGCAGGGAUAGACGAGAGGAGAGAGAGAAGGGUAGAUGCGGACCUUGGGGCGAGCUCGAACGAAGGUGGCUCCAGUGGGCGAGGCUGG